GUGCUCGCUUUGGCAGCACAUGUACUAGAAUUGGAACGAUACAGAGAAGAUCAGCGUGGCCCUGUGCAAGGAGGACAUGCAGAUCUGUCAAGUGUCCCACAAAUUA
rnacentral:snRNA from 1 species